ACUUAGUAAAAUAUAAUAUCACACAAGUAAAAAAUUUGACAUAAUUUUAUUUUUAUUUUACAUAAUUUAACAUUGGAAACCUUAUAAAAAUUUUUUUGUGAAAAUUUUAAAUUUAAAAAGAGUUUUAAUAUACUACGAAUAAAAUAACUAGGAAAUCAGUAUUAAUUAUUUUUAGAGGUGUUUAACAUCUUACUGGAAUAUUAGAUAAAAUAUAGUUAAAGUUUUGUUCCAUUGGUAAUUUUUUAUUUUGUGUAUAUUUUCACAUUCAAACAUUGCAGGUAAUAGUCAGCUUGCUUUUGGAACACAUUUCGACUACAAAACAAAUAGCCAAAAAUUUAACAGAAUUAAAUUUGAUUAAAAAUCAGCAAGAAUAUUUUUUAUAAAUCCAAUUUUUUUCGAAAAUAAAAAACAAAAGCAAACUGAACAUUUUUUGGAAAAAUGAGGAAACAAAAAGACGACAUGCAAGUCAAUGUUGCUGGUAUUCGAAGGAAUAUCAAAAAUUUAGCGCACAAUUAUUCAGAUGCUCAGGUUAAAGUGCGAGAGGCUACGUCUAAUGAUCCAUGGGGUCCAUCUGCGACUAUUAUGGCAGAAAUAGCUGAUCUAACGUAUAAUGUAGUAGCAUUUUCGGAAAUAAUGCAGAUGAUUUGGAAAAGAUUAAACGACCAUGGUAAAAAUUGGCGGCAUGUUUAUAAAGCUUUGAUUUUAUUAGAAUACCUAAUUAAAACGGGGACAGAAAAGGUAGCUCAGCAAUGUAAAGAAAACAUAUUUGCAAUACAAACAUUAAGAGAGUUCGUUUAUUUCGAAGAAAAUAAGGAUCAAGGAACCCACGUUCGCGAAAAAGCGCGACAAUUAGUGACGCUGCUAAAAGAUGACGAAAGAUUGAAAAAUGAACGGGCUAAAGCAUUAAAAGCCAAAGAACGUUUUGCUCAACAUGCAAGUGGAUUUGGUAGCGAUGGUUACGUAGAAGGACCAACGCAUAGAGAAACGCCUACUAGUUGGGCCGAAACAGAAACGAAACCAACGUCGGACAUCGAAUUUGUUAGACCACAAACAGCAGGAGAAGAAGAAUUACAAUUGCAAUUAGCAAUGGCCAUGUCGCGUGAAGAAGCUGAACAAGAAGAGGCGAAGCGACGUAGUGACGAUGUGCGCUUACAAUUGGCGUUGAGUCAAAGUGAACAAGAUUUUAAGAAGAACACCAAAAGAGCAGAACAAGAACAACCACAGCAAAGUCACUUAAUGGAUUUAUUAGAUAUUUCACUAGGCGCUGCUAGUAUUUCGAGCAAUGCACUUGGUGUUCGAGCCAAUGGUGGCUUAGAUCCAUGGGUUCCUCCAGGCCGUGCUGUUAGUCAGCUUUCCGAUCCAUGGUCAGGAGCAUCUUCACCGCAAGCCGAACCUUGGCCCUCUAAUUCACUAAACGCAAGUAAACCUACGAAUAGUUCAAACUUAGACAAUUGGCUAACGUCUAAUCCAACACAACGUACUCAAUCCCCUUCGGUUACAUCCAACUCAUCUACUGAAGGAUGGUUGCAAAGUAAUGUAGUGUCUGGAAAUGGAACUCUUAAUGGUCAUUCAAAUUUAAACCCAGACCCAUGGCUACACAAAACUUCUCCUAAAACUAAUAAUAAAACUAUGCCUGAUCCAUGGCUUCUAAAAGCUAACUCAGUUGAAAAGCCUGAGGAUCCUUGGCAACUUAAAAUUGAUCCAUGGGCUCCACCAAUAAGUGAGAAACGACAUUCACCUCUUGGAGCAAUGACUUCUCCAACAUCAGAUAUGGAUGAUUUUGAUGUGAUAUCCAAUCGGAAUAAGGCUGGACAGGAGAAUAAUUUUAACAGCGGCAACAAUAAUAAUAGUAUUUUUAAAAUAUUAUCACUUUUGGAUGAAAUGGAUCCUUUAACAGGAAAAAAAAUUUUAAAAACACCUCAAUCAUUCUUAGGAGAGAAUUCAUCUCUAGUAAAUUUGGAUAAUUUAAUAAAACCAGUAUCUUCUAAUAGUGCUGGCAUAGGACAUGCUUAUAAUCCAUUUAACGAUUCUUCAACUUCAAUUAUUUCCCAGCAAGGAAUAACGAUUCCAGCGAAAAAUAAUUUGUUCCAACAACAAAUGCCUUCGGUUCCGUCCAUUAACCAGCUUAAACAGCAACAAUCGUUUCCAGUAUCUCUGAAUCAAGAUCCAUGGACUCCUAAUAACAGUUCCAGUUCUACUGCGCAGGAAACAAUGGACGCUUCGGUGUUUAAAUCAUGAUGAACAACAACAUGCCUUGGUUAAAGUCAGAGCCCGCAACUUCAAAUCCGUUUUUAUCAUAAAUAUUUUUGAUUAUGCAUGACUAAAAUUUUCUAUUUUUUUAGUUCAACGUACCUUCGAUAUGGAAUUGUGAAACUAGUUUAAAAUGAAAUGGACAACGCAAAAUUAGGACUAACUGUUUAAUGUUGAAUAUAUUUUUGGAUUAAUAAUUUCAAAAAAUAACCCAAUUUUUUUUUAAACCUUUUUUAAUAUUAAGAAAUCGUAUAUCGUUAAAAUAUCGUUAAAAAGUUUACAAAAAAACAUUUAAUAACUUGCAAACAAUCAACUUACAUAUAUACAUGUAUUUAAACUUUUCUUGCAAUUUUUAUUUUAAGACUGUAUCUAAGAUGGUUUUUAUUUUUAUGUUAAGUUUAUCAUAUAAAAUGGUGCAUCAAGAAGCUGAAAAAGUUUUGGAAAACAAUCAUUAAGAUGAGAUUGGGAAAAGAAAAAGCAAACAAUUCAAAACAACUUUAACUGAAAAAAAAACUAAAAACAAUUUGAUUAUUAUUAUUUAUGUAUGUAUUGUAAAUUUCCACAAACAUUCUUGUUGUAUAAUAUUAUUUGAUAUAAUGUUAUUUGAAUGUUCUUAAUUUUGAGUGUCAAAAUUUUUGUGAAAAAAUAAUUUCAAUAUUGAUUUUUGAUUGUACAAAUUUUAUACAUAGGUAUACAUAGCUUCAGUUGCAUACUUUGCAGUUAAAUUAAAAUCAAAACAGGACUAGCUUUUUGUUGAUUUGGUUUUGAUAAUAUUGUAAGGAAUGUUUUUAGUUAAUAAAUUUUUUGAUAAAUAUGUAUUGUCAGACAUACAUUAAUUAUUUUGUAAAAAAAAGCGGCUUUCCUAAUAAUUUCGAUUCGAUCAAUUUCCCAAAAAAAAAAACAAAGGAAAUACCAAAGGAAAUUUGAGCAGUUUCAUGUUAAAAGAAAAAGAGUUCAAGAAAAAAAUUAAAAAAAAGGAACCCAUUGUUCUGAAAGAAAGUUUUCCCAGCUGCUCUAAAAGUUGUGUACCGAAUUUACUGCAUCAAAACCACAACUAUUUUUAAAAAUUCCGCAAACGCCAAAAAUAUCAUAACAAAAUGGCCUUCGAAAAUAACCUAUAGUUUAAACAAAUUCAAGUUUCAACCGCUAGUUUCAAACUUUUGAUAAUGGUGUUUUGCUUUUGUUGAACCUGAAUUAAACUAUUUCCAUAUUUCUUCACUUGUAAGUUAUCGCUUUUCAAAUUUAGCAAUAUUCCACUUUUCACCUCCUUGUUUUCCCGGAAAUGUAGGCUUAUGAAAAUAAGGAUAAAAAAAUAUCUUUCCUCCAAAAAAUAUACUUAUUUUAACUCACCUAGUUAAGUUUUUAAUGUUUAUUGUAAUUUUCAAUUUAAAAAAAAAGCAAAAAUUUGGUGUUCUUUGGUAGACAUUUUAAUGAAUUCUUUUAAAUUAUACCAUUAUAGCGGUCGUUUUUUAAGAAAAAUGUUUUAACUUGUCAAAGGCAAAUAUGCUACUUCAAAAAUCAUUGGUUUGUUCUAUAUAUAUAUGUUCAUAUAUAUAUAUGUUCUAUAUAUUAUAUGUUCUCUAUAUAUAUAUAUGUUUGUUUCUAUAUAUAUGUAUAUGUUUUAUUGCUAUUACCUCACAACGUCAUAGCUAAUCGCAACGUCAAAAAAAUUAAGUAUUCCACUAUUUUUUGAAAAUUAUAAAGAUCAAAUAAACUAAAAACAAAAAAAUCUUCAUCUUAAAUAAAAGGUUUUUCGUUAUAAUAUGUAUGAAUUAUUAAAUUGUAUUAAGUAAAUUAAAUUGUAUAAUUUUGCAAAAUAUGUAAUGCUGUACGUACAUUUGUGCAUAUGUAUAUAAAUACAUA